CUUUGCGCACCUCUUGCUUUCUUAUCAUAUACUGUCCCGUCGUAGCUUACGCAGUUUCGGCAUGCACUAUCGGUGGAUUGCAGCCAGUUUCGUGCCGAUCGCUAGUUAAUCCAGUCGUGUAUAGAGAGACUUAUAUCAUUUAUUCGGAUUUCAAUAAUCUAAAUUUGUGUUAUACUCGCAGAUCAAUCGACUAUUUAUUUGUUCUUUGCGACUAUAGUAAUUUGUUAAAUGUUCGGAAAUGCCGGUGUUUGGUCGCGUUUGUUAUGUACGAGUAUAUUACAAGUCACGUGAUAGUGGAUUUGACAACAUUCUUCACUCGACAUUGUGUUUGGUGUCUCCAUUUUGAUUCUCAUCAUAAACAAAGAUCCAUCAGGCUCGUUUACAGCAUUCGUUGUGCCUGGAGACACGAACAAAAUUACUUAAUCUAUUCGCAUUGAUUUUCUAACAAAAGCGACGUCCCAGGAUCGGAUUGGAAGACAACUGAUUGGUAGCGACGAUUAAUUUCUUAUGCUCGGCGUACUUCAAUUAAAGCGCUUUAAUUAAAAGUGAUUCUUCACUGUUCGAUCGCAAAAACACAUUAGAAACUAACGGCGUUUAAUCGGCGUCGGUCCCUCUUAUUGUUGAUGCCAAUUUGACUCCUUCAGAACGUGACAAAAACAUUUGGUGUAUUUCCAGCACGCAGAAGACGCGCGCCAUAGUUAUGGUUUGACAUUCAAUCGACUGACUCCUAUGAUGGAUCCCCCUCGAUGUGUGUGAACAAUUCGGGGACGGGGAUUUGGAUGGCAGAGGUUGCUUUCAAACCUGUCUACGAAGAUGUCCAGUUGAACAUAAAAUGGAUGAAGACGUGCCGCAUCUUUGUGAAUAAAUGACUAAUGGUCCCCUCCAAAUUGAAAAACAAAUUUUCAUGAGUAGUUGCCUAUUUAGAUUUUUAAAAUGUAGGAAUUGUUUUUUACGUAUAAGGAUAAUUAAUUGUUGUUACUUGAAGUGUUGAUUAAUUUGUUCGGGUGUUAUUAUAUUUUAUAUUAUAAUUGACAGCA